rnacentral:misc_RNA from 1 species
GAAAUGCGAUAAGUAAUGUGAAUUGCAGAAUUCAGUGAAUCAUCGAAUCUUUGAACGCACAUUGCGCUCCCGGGCAUUCCCGGGAGCAUGCCUGUUCGAGCUUCAUUUCAACCCUCAAGCCCGGCUUGUCAGUUGGGCCUGCCCCUCACCGGGCAGGUCUGAAAGGAAGUGACGGCGUCGCGCCCGACCCUCAGCGAAACAAAGAUUCGUCUAUCGCUCGGGGGGCGGCCGGUGCCUGUCUGACCACAAAAUUUUCUCAGGUUGAACUCGGAUCAGGUAGGGAUACCCGCUGAACUUAA